UCAGCACAGGGCGGUUACCGGCGGCGGAAGAGGGCGGGGUUAGCGCAGCGCGCCUCGUGCGGGUUAGAGGCGAAGCGAGUUAGGGCAGUGCCUCCCCGUGGGCGGAGUCCGGCCGACAAGAUGGCGGCGGCACUGAGGGCGGAGAAGGCUUGGAGGUUGGCGGCCACAACGCCAGCUCUCGCUUUUACUCGUUCCGCAUUUGUUGCAAGAAAACGUAAUUAUGACCAACCAAACUGGCCUGGAGUUGUCUUGGCUUUUGGCACCAGUGCUGCCUUGUGGGCUUAUCUUUUCAAGCAACAUAAUGAUGAUGUAAUGGAAUAUGAAAGAAGAAAACGAGAGAAACAUCAUAAGUGUACAGAUUGCUCCUAGUUGACAAUGUAAUCAGUAAGAAGCAACAUGCUUGCCACUUGUCCUGCAAGUAAGUGAGACCAGCAGAAGUACAAAGUAUCUAAAUACUUACAUGUUCAUGCAUUUCAUGUGCAGAAUUAUGAAAUAAAUUAUGAAAGAAAAUUACGAAGACUUUCCUU
rnacentral:lncRNA from 14 species